rnacentral:rRNA from 1 species
GAUGAACGCUGGCGGCGUGCCUAAUACAUGCAAGUCGAGCGAACAGACGAGGAGCUUGCUCCUCUGACGUUAGCGGCGGGCGGGUGAGUAACACGUGGAUAACCUACCUAUAAGACUGGGAUAACUUCGGGAAACCGGAGCUAAUACCGGAUAAUAUAUUGAACCGCAUGGUUCAAUAGUGAAGGACGGUUUUGCUGUCACUUAUAGAUGGAUCCGCGCCGCAUUAGCUAGUUGGUAAGGUAACGGCUUACCAAGGCAACGAUGCGUAGCCGACCUGAGAGGGUGAUCGGCCACACUGGAACUGAGACACGGUCCAGACUCCUACGGGAGGCAGCAGUAGGGAAUCUUCCGCAAUGGGCGAAAGCCUGACGGAGCAACGCCGCGUGAGUGAUGAAGGUCUUCGGAUCGUAAAACUCUGUUAUUAGGGAAGAACAAAUGUGUAAGUAACUAUGCACGUCUUGACGGUACCUAAUCAGAAAGCCACGGCUAACUACGUG